rnacentral:rRNA from 1 species
AUUCCGGUUGAUCCUGCCGGAGGCCAUUGCUAUCGGAGUCCGAUUUAGCCAUGCUAGUCGUGCGAGUUCAGACUCGCGGCACCGAGCUCAGUAACACGUGGCCAAACUACCCUACAGAGACGGAUACCCUCGGGAAACUGAGGUUAACCCGUCAUACCGAUCUCAGGCUUGAAUCGCAGAGAUCACAAAACGCCCCGGCGCUGUAGGAUGUGGCUGCGGUUGAUUAGGUAGACGGUGGGGUAACGGCGCGCACCGUGCCCAUAAUCAGUACAGGUUGUGAGAGCAAGAACCUGGAGACGGAAUCUGAGACAAGAUUCCGGGCCUACGGGGCGCAGCAGGCGCGAAACCUUGUACACUGCACGCACGUGCGAUAAGGGGACUCCGAGUGCGAGGGCAUAUCGUCCUCGCUUUCGUGUACCGGUACGGCGGUACACCAACAAGGGCUGGGCAAGACC